rnacentral:rRNA from 1 species
AGGGAAUAGAUACCCUGGUAGUCCUGGCAGUAAACGGUGCACGUUUGGUGUGGGCGCAAUCGACCGCGUCCGCGCCGGAGCUAAACGCGUUAAACGUGCCGCCUGGAAAGUACGGUCGCAAGAUUAAAACUCAAAGAAAUUGACGGGGACCCGCACAAGCGGUGGAGUAUGUGGCUUAAUUCGAUGCAACGCGAAGAACCUUACCUGGUCUUGACAUGCAUUGUGUCUCCGGUGAAAGCCGGAUAGGGUAGCAAUACCCGCUUUGCACAGGUGCUGCGUGGCUGUCGUCAGCUCGUGUCGUGAGAUGUUGGGUUAAGUCCCGCAACGAGCGCAACCCCGUGUGAUUUGUUGCCACCGGCUUAUGCCGAGCACUCGAAUCAGACUGCCUCGAUCAACGAGGAGGAAGGUGGGGAUGACGUCAAGUCCGUAUGGCCCUUACGGACCAGGGCUGCACACGUACUACAAUGCCCAGUACAAUGUGAACCGAGACCGCGAGGUGGAGGAAAU